ACGUUUCAGAAUACAAAAGUCAAUCAUAAAGAUCAUUCGAUUAUCGUACCCAAAAGAGCAUACAUACAUUGAUCAUGUUCUAGUAAGAUCUGUUACAGAAUAAGGUUGUCAAAGUUGAGAAAAACGCUUGGUACUUUUUAUAUACUUUUGUACAGAUAGAAAAACACUAUCAUUUUCUUCAGAACUCAAAGACUCAUCACAAGAGAGC
rnacentral:lncRNA from 1 species